CCUAGAUCAUCCUUGUAGUGGUGGGCUUUGAAGAUUUGAGUUUUAAUUGCUUUAAAUGACUGUACGUCCUUUACAGGUCCUAAAGAGGAUAGCUUCUGUCUGGUUUCUAUCUCUUGGAUCCCUUACUCGAGGCAUAGCCAGCUGCUUUGUCAUGAGGAUGUUCAAGCAGUCCCUGGGAGAGGCCCAUGUGGGGAGGAACUGAGGUCUCUCACCAACAGCCAUUACCGAUGUCACUUUGGAAACGGAUUCUCCAGCCCAGUCAAGCCUUCAGAUGACUGCAGCCCCUGCUGACAUCUUGACUGCAACCUCAUAAGAGAUCCUGAGCCAGAACCACCCAGAGUAAACUCCAAUACGGUUCAUAGAAAGCACACAACAUUCUUAAGAGAGUUUUGUUGUCGGAAACACUGCCAGCUUGGACUGAAAGGGAUUCCUUUGGACUCCAAAACUUCUACCAGCAGGAAACAGACUGAGAAAACUCGUCGACGGCAAACUUGAGCUGUUUUGCAAGUGAAAAUAAGAAUAACUCAGAAGCCAGAAUCAAGAGUCCAAAGGGCAGAGGGAAGAGCCAUGGAGUAGUAUCGCCAGGCCUAGAGUCUAAUCAACUGCCCUGGCCUCAGUCCUUCUCAACUAGCACUUCAGGUGGCCGUUACCAACGAAAUGGAUUUGUACAAAAGAUGAAAAUGAUCUUCUAUCCUCAUGAUGGAAUAUUUUCAUACACUAGACGAUGAGAAAACAGAUCAAAAGAAGGGGAUUUGGGCUUUGUAUCAUCAGAUUGGAAACUCUAUGAGGACAGGAACUUUGUUGACUAUUUUAUCCUCUGCACUUUGCCUGGCCCAGAGAAGUUGACCGAACUUGUCUGAGGCAACAAAGUGGGUAAAGAGAAGGACAAGGAUGGAGUCAUCAAAGGAUAAACUUGAUAAGGGCAGAGCCCACAGUUCCACAUGUGAAAUCCAUGACCUGAUUGUCAAUGGGGAGAGUCUCCCCUGUGUCUGCUGGACUCCCUGGGCAUGGCGUGCUUCAGAGGACUGUCAGCAGAUUGUUGACUGCAGAAUUCAACGACCUAAAGGAGAAGAGCUUGACAAGCUUGAUGUAGCAGGGGAAGUUAAGGGUGAAAUUUAAAUGGAAAGGGAAAUAUAUAUGGUAUCAGUUUCCUAUUGCUGCUGUAACAAGUGAUCAUAAACUUAGUGGCUUAAAACAACACAAACUUAUUAUCUUACAGUUCUGGAGGUCAGAAGUCCAAAAUAG
rnacentral:lncRNA from 1 species